rnacentral:ncRNA from 1 species
GCCGGAAGUGACAGUGCAGACGCUGGCAACACAGACGGUCCCGCUGUACACCGACCUGCCGGGCCGCACCGCUGCCUAUCGCGUUGCCGAAGUGCGUCCGCAGGUGAGCGGCAUCGUACUGAAGCGCCUGUUUACCGAAGGCAGCGAAGUCCAGGCCGGACAGCAGCUGUACCAGAUUGA